rnacentral:tmRNA from 1 species
GGGGCUGACAGGCAUUGACGGGAAGUGCAAUGGACGGGUAAGCAUGCAGAGCAUUGGACGAGUGGCUCUUAAAUAUCAACGUUCCAACUUUCAACUGGCGAAUCUAAUUUCGCAAUGGCUGCCUAAUCAGGACGAUUACGCAAUAGUCAUCAUUCCGGUAGGCGUUUUAAUGUGCGUUUAUCAUCAGGAGUGUCGUAUCACAUUGGCCUUGGUGUAAGUGGUUGUGUGCACUAAGGUAUAAAGCAACCUAAGGAAAGGGAGUAGCCAUUACCGGGCUUGCCCGUUCUCUAAAAUUUAAACGGUGAUAAGCAUGUAGAAAGCACGGCUGUUCCUUGUUCGGACCGGAGUUCAAAUCUCCGCAGCUCCACUU